UUCUUUUCCACGAACGAAUUGUUGAUAUUUAGAAAGAUCGAAAGAUGAGGCGGUGCGUUAUUUGUGGCCGUGUAAAAUUGCUUAACAGCGAUAAGACGCUAUUUAAAGUUCCUUCGGAAUUCCAAUCUACACCAAAAAUCUUGUGAUUUCAACAUUUUGGAGUCAGCAGGAAACAAAUUUAACCAAGCAUAGACGAACGCAGUGAUCGCAAUUGUUUUAUACUUCGUCUUUAUGUUUAAUUUGCAUUUUACAAGUAAAACGUAUUGCUGUUUAUAAAAUGAA